GUGCUCACUUUGGCAGCACAUAUACUAAAAUUGGAGCGAUACAGAGAAGAUUAGCACGGCCCCUGAGCAAAGAUGACAUGCAAAUUCGUGAAGCAUUCCAUAUAUUA
ensembl:snRNA U6 U6 spliceosomal RNA